rnacentral:rRNA from 1 species
AGAACGAACGCUGGCGGCAGGCUUAACACAUGCAAGUCGAACGGUUGUAGCAAUACAGCAGUGGCAGACGGGUGAGUAACACGUGGGAACCUUCCUAGGGGUACGGAACAACUCAGGGAAACUUGAGCUAAUACCGUAUACGUCCGUAAGGAGAAAGAUUCAUCGCCCCUAGACGGGCCCGCGUAGGAUUAGGUAGUUGGUGAGGUAACGGCUCACCAAGCCUACGAUCCUUAGCUGAUCUGAGAGGAUGAUCAGCCACACUGGGACUGAGACACGGCCCAGACUCCUACGGGAGGCAGCAGGUGGGGAAUCGUUGGACAAGUGGGGCGCGAAGCCUGAUCCAGCCAUGCCGCGUGAGUGAAGAAGGUCCUUCGGGUUGUAAGUCUCUUUACCGAGGGACGAUAAGUGACGGUACCGUGGAAGAAGUAACGCCCCGGACAAAACCGUUCGACCGCCAAGCGACGCCGUC